rnacentral:rRNA from 1 species
GACGUAGGGCGCGAGCGUUGUCCGGAUUCAUUGGGCGUAAAGGGUGCGUAGGCGGCGCGGUAAGUCGGGUGUGAAAUCUCGGAGCUUAACUCCGAAACUGCAUUCGAUACUGCCGUGCUUGAGGACUGGAGAGGAGACUGGAAUUUACGGUGUAGCGGUGAAAUGCGUAGAUAUCGUAGGGAAGACCAGUGGCGAAGGCGGGUCUCUGGACAGUUCCUGACGCUGAGGCACGAAGGUCAGGGGAGCAAACGGG